UGGGGAAUUUUGCACAAUGGGGGAAACCCUGAUGCAGCGUCGCCGCGUGAUUUAGAAGGCCUUCGGGUUGUAAAAAUCUUUUCUAUGGGAAGAAAAUGACAGUACCAUAGGAAUAAGGACCGGCUAAUUACGUGCCAGCAGCCGCGGUAAUACGUAAGGUCCGAGCGUUGUCCGGAAUCAUUGGGCGUAAAGGGUACGUAGGCGGGUAAGCAAGUUAGAAGUGAAAUCCUAUAGCUCAACUAUAGUAAGCUUUUAAAACUGCUCAUCUUGAGGUAUGGAAGGGAAAGUGGAAUUCCUAGUGUAGCGGUGAAAUGCGCAGAUAUUAGGAGGAAUACCGGUGGCGAAGGCGACUUUCUGGCCAUAACCUGACGCUGAGGUACGAAAGCGUGGGUAGCAAACAGG
rnacentral:rRNA from 1 species